rnacentral:rRNA from 1 species
GUCUGGCCUGCUCACUGAUAAUAUUAAAGAGCCGCGGUAUUUUGACCGUGCAAAGGUAGCAUAAUCAUUAGUCUCUUAAUUAGAGGCUGGAAUGAAUGGCUUGACGAGAAAUCAACUGUCUCUUAAUAAAUUAUAUAAUUUAACUUUUAAGUCAAAAGGCUUAAAUUUUUCUUUAGGACGAGAAGACCCUAUAGAUCUUGACAUUUUAUUUAUAUAUAUAUUUAAGGUAGUCUUUUUAUAUUUAAUGAAAAUGUUUUGUUGGGGUGACAUGAAGAAUAAAUAAACUCUUCAUUAUUAAAUCAUUAAUUUAUGUUUAUUUUGAUCCAUAAUUUAUGAUCAUAAGAUUAAGUUACCUUAGGGAUAACAGCGUAAUUGUUUUUGAGAGCUCAUAUCGACAAAGCAGAUUGCGACCUCGAUGUUGGAUUAAGAAAAGUUUUGGGUGCAGUAGCCCAGUAAUUAGGUCUGUUCGACCUUUAAAUUCUU